ACUCAUUUAGUAUAAAUAGUAUAAUUGACUUCCAAUCAAAAGGCUGAAAUUAAUCAAAAGAGUA
rnacentral:tRNA from 1 species